UCGGUAAUUCCAGCUCCAAUAGCGUAUAUUAAAGUUGUUGCAGUUAAAAAGCUCGUAGUUGGAUUUGUGGCAGUGCUCGAGUGCCUUUUUUGGACGCUCUGAGCACAGCCAUCCUUGGGAGGAAUUCGUGUGGCAUUAGGUUGUUGCAUGGGGGAUACUCAACUUUUACUGUGAAAAAAUCAGCGCGUUCAAAGCAAGCUUAUGCUCUUGAAUGUAUUAGCAUGGAAUAAUAAGAUAGGACUUUAGUACUAUUUUGUUGGUUUGCGUAUUAAGGUAAUGAUUAAUAGGGAUAGUUGGGGGUAUUCGUAUUCCAUUGUCAGAGGUGAAAUUCUUGGAUUUUUGGAAGACGAACUACUGCGAAAGCAUUUACCAAGGAUGUUUUCAUUAAUCAAGAACGAAAGUUAGGGGAUCGAAGAUGAUUAGAUACCAUCGUAGUCUUAACCAUAAACUAUGCCGACAAGGGAUUGGUGGGGUUUCGUAAUGUCUCCAUCAGCACCUUAGGAGAAAUCAUAAGUCUUUGGGUUCCGGGGGGAGUAUGGUCGCAAGGCUGAAACUUAAAGAAAUUGACGGA
rnacentral:rRNA from 1 species